CCCUUAGAUGUCCUGGGCCGCACGCGCGCUACACUGAUGCAUUCAACGAGUUUUUCCUUGGCCGAGAGGCCUGGGCAAUCUUGUGAACGUGCAUCGUGAUAGGGAUAGAUUCUUGCAAUUAUUAAUCUUGAACGAGGAAUUCCUAGUAAACGCAGAUCAUCAAUCUGCAUUGAUUACGUCCCUGCCCUUUGUACACACCGCCCGUCGCACCUACCGAUUGAAUGGUCCGGUGAAGCCUCGAGAUUGUGGCUAGCUUGCUUCAUUGCGAGUUAGUUGCGAGAACUUGUCUAAACCUUAUCAUUUAGAGGAAGGUGAAGUCGUAACA
rnacentral:rRNA from 1 species